GCCGCGAUGGCACAAUCUGGUAAUGCGCAGGACUGGAAAUUCUGUUCCCGCAAGGGUUUCCCGGUUCAAAUCCGGGUCGCGGCG
rnacentral:tRNA from 1 species